UCUUCUUCUUCUUCUUCUUCUUUUUUUUUCUUUCUUUUUUUUUGAUCAAUGAGUUAAAGAUUGGUGGUUAGCCUUGAUAUAUGAGAGGUUUAACCUUCUUUGAUUCAAAUCUAAUUCAUCUUGAUCAUAGAUCAAGUGAAUGGCUUUGCAUUAAAGAUAGGUUGCUUCCUAAUCAAGCAAAGAACUUAAAUUAAUACAAGAUCAUUUCUCAUCUUCUUUUGACAUGGCAAGUUGUAGGAGCUUGAUU
rnacentral:lncRNA from 1 species